AGAGUUUGAUCCUGGCUCAGGAUGAACGCUGGCGGCGUGCUUAACACAUGCAAGUCGAACGAUGAAGCCUUUCGGGGUGGAUUAGUGGCGAACGGGUGAGUAACACGUGGGCAAUCUGCCCUUCACUCUGGGACAAGCCCUGGAAACGGGGUCUAAUACCGGAUAACACUCUGUCCCGCAUGGGACGGGGUUGAAAGCUCCGGCGGUGAAGGAUGAGCCCGCGGCCUAUCAGCUUGUUGGUGGGGUGAUGGCCUACCAAGGCGACGACGGGUAGCCGGCCUGAGAGGGCGACCGGCCACACUGGGACUGAGACACGGCCCAGACUCCUACGGGAGGCAGCAGUGGGGAAUAUUGCACAAUGGGCGAAAGCCUGAUGCAGCGACGCCGCGUGAGGGAUGACGGCCUUCGGGUUGUAAACCUCUUUCAGCAGGGAAGAAGCGAAAGUGACGGUACCUGCAGAAGAAGCGCCGGCUAACUACGUGCCAGCAGCCGCGGUAAUACGUAGGGCGCAAGCGUUGUCCGGAAUUAUUGGGCGUAAAGAGCUCGUAGGCGGCUUGUUGCGUCGGUUGUGAAAGCCCGGGGCUUAACCCCGGGUCUGCAGUCGAUACGGGCAGGCUAGAGUGUGGUAGGGGAGAUCGGAAUUCCUGGUGUAGCGGUGAAAUGCGCAGAUAUCAGGAGGAACACCGGUGGCGAAGGCGGAUCUCUGGGCCAUUACUGACGCUGAGGAGCGAAAGCGUGGGGAGCGAACAGGAUUAGAUACCCUGGUAGUCCACGCCGUAAACGUUGGGAACUAGGUGUUGGCGACAUUCCACGUCGUCGGUGCCGCAGCUAACGCAUUAAGUUCCCCGCCUGGGGAGUACGGCCGCAAGGCUAAAACUCAAAGGAAUUGACGG
rnacentral:rRNA from 1 species